rnacentral:rRNA from 1 species
CCUCCGAAGUUUCUCUCAGGAUAGCGGGCAGACAUGACGUUGUUUUGUGCGGUAAAGCGAAUGAUUAGCGCACUCGGGGGCGUUUAGCCUUCGGGCGAUUCUCAAACUUUAAAUGCGCAAGGGUGCCGCUGCUUUAUUGAGCGGUACCGUUAAAAACGUCUGCCCUGUGGGCCACUUUUGGUAAGCAGAACUGGCGAUACGGGAUGAACCGUAAGCGUGGUUAAGGCGUCAAAUUGUCCGCUUAUAGAACCCAAAAAAGGUGUUGAUUCAUCGAGACAGCAGGACGGUGGCCAUGGAAGUCGGAAUCCGCUAAGGAGUGUGUAACAACUCACCUGCCGAAUGAAUUAGCCCUGAAAAUGGAUGACGCUGAAGCGGACAGCCGACACCACGCCGUCUGAACAAAGUGGCUUUUCAGAUGAGUAGGAGGGCGUGGCGGUUGUAUGGAAGCGUUCGUGCGAACGGGCGUGAAACGGCCGCUAGUGCAGAUCUUGGUGGUAGUAGCAAAUAUUCAAGUGAGAUCCUUGAAGGACGAAGCGGGGAAGGGUUCCACGCGAACAUUGAUUGGGCGUGGGUGAGUCGUUCCUAAGCCGAGUGGCGAUUGCUAAGUAGCGGCGAAAGGGAAGCGGGUUGACAUUCCCGCACACGGAUGUGGAGGUGGUGACACCGUACUGGGGUGAUGACGUUGGCGGAGGCUCUGGGCAGAGUUGUCUUUUCUGUUUGACCGUCAGUGUAUGCUGUCUGGAAUCCGAUUGUCGGGAGAAAGACGCAUGCACGGGCAGAGCGCCGGGGCUUUUCCGGCGUCCAGAUCGCCUCCGACGACCCUUGAAAAAUCACUUGCUGGGCAUAGUUUUCUAUGUGUUUAUCCACGCCGUGGCGUACCGAUCACCGCAUCAGGUCCCCAAGGUGAACAGCCUCUGUCCAAUAUGAAUAAUGCAGGUAAGGGAAGUCGGCAAAUUGGACCCGUAACUUUGGGAAAAGGGUUGGCUCUAGUGCUGCGUGGGAGUGGUUGCUGCGUUGUCGCGGUGUGUGGUGGUAGCACAGUUGCGGCGAUGAAGGCUUGUCCAUCGUCGCUGUGGCCGUGCCAUCUACCCGCGCUGCUGCGCGUAGCGACGCCCACAGCAUGCAGCAGACUAGAACUGCAACGGGCAAAGGGAAUCCGACUGUUUAAUUAAAACAAAGCAUUG